rnacentral:tRNA from 1 species
AGAGAUAUAUUUUAAACAUAAAAAACCUCAUUUGCACAGAGGAACUGGGCCCCAGGCCCUAUCUCUA